rnacentral:RNase_P_RNA from 1 species
UUGGAAGGGUGGAGGGUCGCUCGCGGCGAAAGUCGCGGGAGGAAAGUCCGAACUCCAUAGGGCGCGGAGCCACGUAACUCCGGUUAGGCCGGAGAUACACGCGGGAGGUCACGACGUAAGGCGUGGCCGACAGACAGUGCCACAGAGAAUAUACCGCCCGCGCCGAAAGGUGCGGGUAAGGGUGAAAAGGCGGUUUAAGAGACCACCGCUC